GUUGUACCUUUUAACAAACAAUAUUUUGUUAGCUUUGAUGAUCGGUCCUGUGUCGUGACUUUUGCUUUGCUAAGACAACGGUCCAAACCAGCGAUGGAUUAUUGAAAUAUAAUGUGGCCUCUUCAUUUUCAACUGGGAAGGACCUGCAUGGACUUGAGAAUACAGAGCCAAUCGUUUUUUUUGUGAGUGUCUCAGAGAUCCCACCUUUGGAGCAGUUGUCAGGAGCCUCAAGGCGGUGCCGUUCGUCUUGGUCCCAUCCCUCUAGCACCUAGCGUUACCGCUCCAGAAGAGAGAAACCUUGUACGUUUCGAACAGUUUAUCUCCUUCCGGGAAUAAUCCACAGACUCCAAACUGAGCCUGGCUUGUUUGCGAUGUCCUGUUGUUCAACAUAUUCUGAUUUCAUACUUAUCGGACCAACAUAAGUGAGUUUUUUUGGCUAAAAAUCGCUAAACGUUAGCAAUUCCACUGCUUUGUUAUUUUACUAUGUGGUGGUGGAGAUAAUCACGUACAAGAGGUUUCGGUGGGCAUGGCUGUCGUUCCUUAAAUUGGUGGACAUCGGGUUGAGGGCUUUUGUUGUCCUCAAUGCGGGCCUAAUCCAAGGGCUGUGGUGUUGGAUGGCACCACACUUGGUUAUUAUCGCUGGUUUGACAAGCAGCCCCAGACUACACCGCCCACUCAGGACCAAGGGAAAGAA